rnacentral:rRNA from 1 species
CCUACGGGAGGCAGCAGUGGGGAAUAUUGCACAAUGGGCGGAAGCCUGAUGCAGCGACGCCGCGUGCGGGAUGAAGGCCUUCGGGUUGUAAACCGCUUUCAGCCGGGGCGAACUCAGGACGGUACCUGCAGAAGAAGCGCCGGCUAACUACGUGCCAGCAGCCGCGGUAAU